GGAAUUUUGGGCAAUGGGCGCAAGCCUGACCCAGCAACGCCGCGUGAGGGAUGAAGGCCUUCGGGUCGUAAACCUCUGUCGGGAGGGAAGCAUGGCCUCCGGUCGAACAGGCCGGAGGUUCGACGGUACCUCCAAAGGAAGCGCCGGCUAACUCCGUGCCAGCAGCCGCGGUAAUACGGACGGCGCAAGCGUUGUUCGGAAUUACUGGGCGUAAAGCGCGUGUAGGCGGUCUGGUGAGUCGGAUGUGAAAGCCCGGGGCUCAACCCUGGAACUGCAUUCGAUACUGCCAGGCUAGAGUCCCGGAGAGGAUGGCGGAAUUCCCGGUGUAGAGGUGAAAUUCGUAGAUAUCGGGAGGAACACCAGUGGCGAAGGCGGCCAUCUGGACGGUGACUGACGCUGAGACGCGAAAGCGUGGGGAGCAAAC
rnacentral:rRNA from 1 species